AGGAUGAACGCUAGCUAUAGGCUUAACACAUGCAAGUCGAGGGGAAACGGCAUUAUGUGCUUGCACAUUUUGGACGUCGACCGGCGCACGGGUGAGUAUCGCGUAUCCAACCUUCCCUCCACUCGGUGGAUACCCCGUUGAAAGACGGCCUAAUACCCGAUGUUGUCACAUAUGGCAUCUGACGUGGACCAAAGAUUCAUCGGUGGAGGAUGGGGGUGCGUCUGAUUAGCUUGUUGGUGCGGGUAACGGCCCACCAAGGCGACGAUCAGUAGGGGUUCUGAGAGGAAGGUCCCCCACAUUGGAACUGAGACACGGUCCAAACUCCUACGGGAGGCAGCAGUGAGGAAUAUUGGUCAAUGGACGGAAGUCUGAACCAGCCAAGUAGCGUGCAGGAUUGACGGCCCUAUGGGUUGUAAACUGCUUUUGUUGGGGAGUAAAGUGAGGCACGCGUGCCUUUUUGCAUUUACCCUUCGAAUAAGGACCGGCUAAUUCCGUGCCAGCAGCCGCGGUAAUACGGAAGGUCCAGGCGUUAUCCGGAUUUAUUGGGUUUAAAGGGAGUGUAGGCGGUCUGUUAAGCGUGUUGUGAAAUUUAGGUGCUCAACAUUUAACUUGCAGCGCGAACUGGCGGACUUGAGUGCACGCAACGUAUGCGGAAUUCAUGGUGUAGCGGUGAAAUGCUUAGAUAUCAUGACGAACUCCGAUUGCGAAGGCAGCGUACGGGAGUGUUACUGACGCUUAAGCUCGAAGGUGCGGGUAUCGAACAGGAUUAGAUACCCUGGUAGUCCGCACGGUAAACGAUGGAUGCCCGCUGUUAGCGCCUGGCGUUAGCGG
rnacentral:rRNA from 1 species